UUUUGGGUGGCCUAUAGCUAUUCAAAUUAAAAGGGAAUCGGGUGUAAAUCCCGAACAGUCCCGCUGCUGUGAAACUCCAUACAACUCUUGGUAAUACUCCUGCCACUGGACUAAUAUCCGGGAAGGCACCAAGCAGGGAGCCAGUCAGAAGACCUGCCGUUCAAU
rnacentral:ncRNA from 1 species